rnacentral:rRNA from 1 species
GGCGCGUCUUCCUCAUCCCCUACGUCAGAUCCUGCCCGUACUCCUCCCGGGUCCGUUUCUUCUGAGACGCCCAUCCCUAUCUCGAGCGACGCGUCCCCGCCGGUAGUUAUUCACCGGCCUCCCUCGCCGUCCAACACCCAUACUAUGGUCACCCGGGCUAAACGUGGUCUAUUCCAACCCACCGAUCGUCUCAACCUUUCCGCCUCCCACUCCACUCCCUCCCCAAUCCCUAAAACAUACCGGGGUGAACUCCAUGACCCCCACUGGCGUCGUGCUAUGACCGAGGAAUAUGAUGCUCUUGUCACUAACGGGACGUGGUCUCUUGUUCCACGUCCUCCUCGUGCUCAUGUUGUUUCAGGGAAGUGGAUUUUCAAGCAUAAAUUUCACUCGGACGGCAGCCUUGCCCGGUACAAGGCAAGAUGGGUGGUACGUGGCUACUCUCAACAACCAGGCAUUGACUUUGACGAGACAUUCAGUCCUGUUGUUAAGCCUGCCACCAUCCGCAUCGUCCUCAGCAUUGUCGUCUCG